GACGAACGCUGGCGGCGUGCUUAACACAUGCAAGUCGAACGGAAAGGCCCUGCUUUUGUUGGGUGCUCGAGUGGCGAACGGGUGAGUAACACGUGAGUAACCUGCCCUUGACUUUGGGAUAACUUCAGGAAACUGGGGCUAAUACCGGAUAGGAGCUCCUGCUGCAUGGUGGGGGUUGGAAAGUUUCGGCGGUUGGGGAUGGACUCGCGGCUUAUCAGCUUGUUGGUGGGGUAGUGGCUUACCUAGGCUUUGACGGGUAGCCGGCCUGAGAGGGUGACCGGCCACAUUGGGACUGAGAUACGGCCCAGACUCCUACGGGAGGCAGCAGUGGGGAAUAGUGCACAAUGGGCGGAAGCCGGAUGCAGCAACGCCGCGUGCGGGAUGACGGCCUUCGGGUUGUAAACCGCUUUCGCCUGUGACGAAGCGUGAGUGACGGUAAUGGGUAAAGAAGCACCGGCUAACUACGUG
rnacentral:rRNA from 1 species